rnacentral:rRNA from 1 species
UACGAAGGGUGCUAGCGUUGUUCGGAAUUACUGGGCGUAAAGGGCGCGUAGGCGGCCUGAUAAGUCAGAUGUGAAAGUCCUGGGCUUAACCUGGGGACUGCAUUUGAUACUGUUAGGCUAGAGGGCGUGAGAGGAGAAUGGAAUUGUGAGUGUAGAGGUGAAAUUCGUAGAUAUUCACAAGAACACCGGUGGCGAAGGCGAUUCUCUGGCACGAUACUGACGCUAAAGCGCGAAAGCGUGGGGAGCAAACAGG